rnacentral:lncRNA from 1 species
UAAGGGCAAUUACUAUUCAUUUUUUUGUUUUUUCACAACUUUUUUUUAAUGAAAAUAAUUAAUUUGGAUAAUAUUUUCAGAUAAGGUUUCCGGGUUCCUAUGUGUCAAGACUAUUCAUAAUCGGAUAAAAUUUCCGGAUAAAAUUUUUGGAUUCAAAUUUCGGAUGAAUUUCAAAAUUCAAAUUUCAGAUAAAUUUUUGGGUUCAAAUUUCGAAUGAAUUUCAAAAUUCAAAAUUCAGAUAAAUUUGGUUCAAAUUUCGGAUGAAUUUCAAAAUUCAAAAUUCAUAUAAAUUUGAGUUCAAAUUUCGAAUGAAUGUUGGGAGGUGGUUCAAAUUAUUAUUGCUUGAAUUACCCGCUUUCUUUGCCUUCGCGGCCUUUCGGCCAAUGGGCAUCGGCUCCUUUUUGAGGGUGAGUCUUGACUCAUAGGGGAAUCGAGAGGUGAAUCCGAUGUCAUUGAAUCACGGAGUGGCGUCUCAUUUAACACAACGGCAGGAC